CACUCGCUCUUAAUGGCACUGGAAGAAUUCACGGGUCAUUUUGGUUUACACCGUGAUUUCUCUGGUGCUAUGAAGAGAGAGUU
rnacentral:pre_miRNA from 1 species